rnacentral:rRNA from 1 species
AUGAACGCUGGCGGCGUGCCUAAUCCAUGCAAGUCGAGCGAACAGACGCGGAGCUUGCUCCUCUGACGUUAGCGGCGGCCGGGUGAGUAUCACGUGGAUAACCUACCUAUAAGACUGGGAUAACUUCGGGAAACCGGAGCUAAUACCGGAUAAUAUAUUGAACCGCAUGGUUCAAUAGUGAAAGACGGUUUUGCUGUCACUUAUAGAUGGCUCCGCGCCGCAUUAGCUAGUUGGUAAGGUAACGGCUUACCAAGGCAACGAUGCGUAGCCGACCUGAGAGGGUGAUAGGCAACACGGGAAGGGAGACACGGUCAAGACGCCUAAGGGAGGCAGCAGUAGGGAAUCUUACGCAAUGGGCGAAAGCAUGACGGAGCAACGCCGCGUGAGUGAUGAAGGUCUUCGGAUCGUAAAACUCUGUUAUUAGGGAAGAACAAAUGUGUAAGUAACUAUGCACGUCUUGACGGUACCUAAUCAGAAAGCCACGGCUAACUACGUG